GCCAAGUAAAAUCCCUUCUGGAGCACCGGGGGACUUAGUCCAGUUAUUUUGUGAUAAGCACCAUGAUGGGGACCACAGGCACAAGGGGCAGCCAGGUGGAGUGCGGGAGAGCGGUGUCUUCUGUAGCCUCUGCCUAGUCCCGAGCACUGCGCUGGCUGCUUCCAAAGUCUUCAGUUCUCCUCAUCCACACAAACCUGAACAGGUCACAUCCGUGCCACCUCCAGGGUCUGAUCCGGCCUCUCAGCAAUGACCACCACAUCUAGACUGACAGGUGAUGCUGGAGAGAUGGCACACCCACCACCAGGCUCCCGUGCCAUGGUGCCAUGGAUUUGCAGAGGACACGGUGUAGCCAGCAAAGCCUUCCAGAGUCCCCUCCUCCACACCCCAGCUCUUUCUCACAGACACUGAGCAGCCAGUCUUUUGACCUCACUGCUCCUACACACAGCAGCCUGGGCUUUGCUCUGGUCGUCACCGCAGCAACCAGAGGAGUCGAUUUUGUGGGCUUGAUAAUAUCCUCCUGUCCCUCUCAUCGCCUGUGAGUGCCAGCCAAUCCCUCCAUCCAACAUCAAGCUUCCCAAGUUGAAACCCCGGUUCCUUUGCCAGCCCUGGGGAAGACAGAGCCCCAUGCCUGCCAUUUUUAAUCACACCAGGGCUGGAUGAACAGGUAAUUGCUGUGCAUUUCAGUA